rnacentral:rRNA from 1 species
AUACGUAGGGGGCGAGCGUUGUCCGGAUUUAUUGGGCGUAAAGGGUGCGUAGGCGGCCUUGUAAGUCAGAUGUGAAAGAUCAUGGCUUAACUGUGGUAAGCGUUUGAAACUGCAGGGCUUGAGUACAGGAGAGGCGAGUGGAAUUCCUAGUGUAGCGGUGAAAUGCGUAGAUAUUAGGAGGAAUACCAGUGGCGAAGGCGGCUCUCUGGACUGAUACUGACGCUGAGGCACGAAAGCGUGGGGAGCAAACAGGAUUAGAUACCCUGGUAGUCCACGCUAUAAACGAUGAGUGCUAGGUGUCGGGGGUCAAACCUCGGUGCCGCAGUUAACAAAUUAAGCACUCCGCCUGGGAGUACGGCCGCAAGGCUGAAACUCAAAUGAAUUGACGGGG